GACGAACGCUGGCGGCGGGCUUAACACAUGCAAGUCGAACGCACCGUUCGGGGUGAGGGGCGGACGGCGGGGUGAGACGUGGGGAUCAACACUUGUGUACGGGGUCGCUGCGGGAAAGAGAAAUUAAUACCGUAUACGCCCAUAGGGGGUAGGAGUUACCGGGGCAGGAUGGGGGCGCGUUAGAUUAGGUGGUUGGGGGGGUAAAGGCCUACCAAGGCGACGGUCCAUAGCUGGUCUAAGAGGAUGACCAGCCAGGUUGGGACUGAGACACGGCCCACACUCCGGCGGGAGGCAGCAGUAGAGAAGAUUGGACGAUGGGCGCAAGCCGGAGCCAGCCAUGCCGCGUGAGUGAUGAAGGCCCUUGGGUUGCAAAUCUCUCUCAGUGGGGACGAUAAUGACGGUACCUACAGAAGAAGCCCCGGCUAACUUCGUG
rnacentral:rRNA from 1 species